rnacentral:lncRNA from 1 species
ACUCUACCGCCUUGUCAAGAGCAACCACAAAGUUUUAUCUAUCAUCUUAGAUAUGGUUGAAAGAACAACCACAAAGUUUUAUAUAACAUCUUAGAUAUGGUAGACAGCUCCCUUUUUUUGUUGUGGAUAGGAUUAUUACAACUUUUGAAGGAGCUGAAAUCUACCAUGGAGAGUCAAAGAUCUCUAAUAUUCCAUUUGUUGUUAUUUUUAAUUUUUUGUGAAGAAAAUAUUCCAUUUUGUAUGAAUAGUUGCUGGAUUUUAGGAAGCUUAACUUCAAUACUUCUCAUUUUUUCUACACCAUCUGUCUUGGUAUGAGAUUAUUGCAAAGACAUUUAGGGGUCAUUUGCUUCAGUUCUUGGAUAUCCUUUUGGACUAUCUAUCCCACCUUCAAUAUCGGAUAACUAAUACCACCAUUUUGGUAUAAAACCUAUACUAGUAUUAAAUAAUAGAGUGUUUUAGGGGAAGCAACAGAGUAUUGAGGUACUGGCCAGACAGAUAGUUCAAGAAAUCCAUUUUAGAGGUUCAAUGAAGGUGAAGAUUAAGACAAGAGGGGUUGCUCUGAUGGUAAGCAAACCCCACUUCCAAUUGAGAGGUUGUGAGUUCGAGUCUCCCCAAGAGCAAGGUGGGAAGUUCU